UACGGAGGGUGCGAGCGUUGUCCGGAAUCAUUGGGCGUAAAGGGCGCGUAGGUGGCCCGGUCAGUCCGUGGUGAAAGCGCGGGGCUCAACCCCGCGUCGGCCAUGGAUACUGCUGGGCUGGAGCACUGUAGAGGCAGGCGGAAUUCCGGGUGUAGCGGUGGAAUGCGUAGAGAUCCGGAAGAACACCGGUGGCGAAGGCGGCCGCUGGGCAGUGCUGACACUGAGGCGCGACAGCGUGGGGAGCAAACGGG
rnacentral:rRNA from 1 species